AGAGGGUGCAAGCGUUAAUCGGAAUUACUGGGCGUAAAGGGUGCGUAGGUGGUUUGUUAAGUCAGGCGUGAAAUCCUCGGGCUCAACCUGGGAACUGCGCUUGAUACUGGCAGACUCGAGUGUGGUAGAGGAUAGUGGAAUUCCCGGUGUAGCGGUGAAGUGCGUAGAUAUCGGGAGGAACAUCAGUGGCGAAGGCGGCUAUCUGGACUAACACUGACACUGAGGCACGAAAGCGUGGGUAGCAAACAGGAUUAGAUACCCUGGUAGUCCACGCCCUAAACGAUGGGUACUAGACGUCGGGAAGCUUGUCUUCUUGGUGUCGCAGCUAACGCAAUAAGUACCCCGCCUGGGGAGUACGGUCGCAAGAUUA
rnacentral:rRNA from 1 species